UGGUCAAGUUAUUAAGGGUGCAGGGCGGAUGCCUUGGCACUAGGAGCCGAUGAAGGACGUGAUAAGCUGCGAUAAGCUUCGGGGAGUUGCACGUAAACUUUGAUCCGAAGAUUUCCGAAUGAGGAAACUCACUUAGAGUAAUGUCUAAGUAUCAUUAAGUGAAUACAUAGCUUA
rnacentral:rRNA from 1 species